rnacentral:rRNA from 1 species
GACGAACGCUGGCGGUGUGCUUAACACAUGCAAGUCGAACGGUAAGGCCCUUGCGGGGGUACACGAGUGGCGAACGGAUGGGUAACACGUGAGUAACCUGCCCUCCUCUCUGGGCUAGCAGACGGAAACGGUUGGUAAUAAUGGCUAUGUGCUUGCACGGCAUCUAGUGGGUUGGAGAGAUUUUUUUGGUUGGGGAUGGACUCGCGGCCUAUCAGCUUGUUGGUGGGGUAGUGGCCCACCAAGGCUUCGACGGGUAGCCGGCCUGAGAGGGCGGCCGGCCACAUUUGGACUGGGGUACCGCCCCAACUCCUUCCGGGAGCAGCCGUUGGGAAUUUUUCACAAUGGGCGGAAGGCCUAUGCAGGAACGCCGCGUUCGGGAUUACGGCCUUCCGGUUUGAAACCGCUUUCAAUUAUGACCAAGCUGUUUGUGACGGUAGCAGGAGAAGAAGCACCGGCUAACUACGUG